UACGGAGGGUGCAAGCGUUGCUCGGAAUUAUUGGGCGUAAAGGGUAGGUAGGUGGUCUCAUUUGUCUGGGGUGAAAGCCUUGAGCUUAACUCAAGAAGUGCCCCAGAAACGGUGAGACUGGAGUCCUGGAGAGGGUCGUGGAAUUCCCGGUGUAGCGGUGAAAUGCGUAGAGAUCGGGAAGAACACCCGUGGCGAAGGCGGCUCUCUGGGACGGUACUGACGCUGAGACGCGAAAGCGUGGGGAGCGAACGGG
rnacentral:rRNA from 1 species